UACCAGCUCUCCGAGUGGUGUGGAUGUUUAUUGGGCCUAAAGCAUCCGUAGCUGGCUGGGCAAGUCCCCUGUUAAAUCCACCGAUUUAAUCGUUGGAGUGCGGGGGAUACUGCUCGGCUAGGGGGCGGGAGAGGCAGACGGUAUUUUCGGGGUAGGGGUGAAAUCCUAUAAUCCCGAGAAGACCACCAGUGGCGAAGGCUGUCUGCUAGAACGUGCCCGACGGUGAGGGAUGAAAGCUGGGGGAGCGAACCGGAUUAGAUACCCGGGUAGUCCCAGCUGUAAACGAUGCAUGCUAGGUGUUGGGUUGGCCACGAGCCACCCCAGUGCCGCAGGGAAGCCGUUAAGCAUGCCGCCUGGGAAGUACGAUCGCAAGAUUGAAACUUAAAGGAAUUGGCGGGGAGCACCACCAGGCGUGAAGCCUGCGGUUU
rnacentral:rRNA from 1 species